GAUGAAGAACGUAGCAAAAUGCGAUACUUGGUGUGAAUUGCAGAAUCCCGUGAACCAUCGAGUUUUUGAACGCAAGUUGCGCCCGAAGCCUUUUGGCCGAGGGCACGUCUGCCUGGGCGUCACGCAUCGCGUCGCCCCCCCACAAUUCUCCGUAAAGGGAACUUGUGUUUUGGGGGCGGAUAUUGGUCUCCCGUGCUCAUGGCGUGGUUGGCCGAAAUAGGAGUCCUUUCGAUGGACGCACGAACUAGUGGUGGUCGUAAAAACCCUCGUCUUUUGUUUCGUGCUGUUGCUCGCAAGGUAAACUCUUUAAAAACCCCAAUGUGUCGUCUCUUGACGACGCUUCGACCGCGACCCCAGGUCAGGCGGGACUACCCGCUGAGUUUAAGCAUAUCAAUAAGCGGAAGGA
rnacentral:misc_RNA from 1 species